rnacentral:ncRNA from 1 species
GAGGCAUCCAGUGUGGUAACGCGACCGAUCCUGGAGAAGCUGGCGGGACCCCCGGGGAGAGUUCUCUUUUCUUUUGAAGGGCAGGGCAGCCAGGAAUGGGUUCGCCCCAAGAGAGGGGCCCAAGCCCUGGAAAGCGUUGCGGUUUCGGCGGCGUUCGGUGAGCUUUCCCUGGCCCUUGAAAAUCCGAGCGAGAGGUUUUAAAUCUC